CAGAAAUAUAUUUCAAAAAUAUUGUUACUAGUGGUUGUGACACUAUGAAAUUAUGUGUGGCAGCUGUCUAGUCUUCAGUAUAAAAUAUAGUUCCAAUAAAAGUCAAAUAUGAGGGAUAUUAUACGAGCUGAUAUGACGGCACAUCUGUAAUACGCACAUCAGUGUUUGUGCCACGAUGAAAUUCAGUGUGGGAGAUCUUUAGAAUUUAUAACGAAUUAUGGUUUGAAAAAAUUUUUAAAUUUUGGGAGAUGAGAGUGUGUACCGACAUACCAUAUAGGGCAGAUCAUAGUAAUUGCGUCGAUGUAGUUUUGCUUAUAUCAUAUCAUGAAAAACUGUUGAAGGAUGGUGUUGUUCAAAAAGAACAACUUAUGGGUGUUUCAUAUCGAGGAAAUAAUACAUUUACUCCCGAAUAUGCAUAACGCUAAAAAUUAAAGACAAUUUACUAAACAGGAAGAAGUUAUAUACAAUUUGUUGUCGAAGCUUUGUUAACUGUUCCAAUAGUCAAGAACAAGUGCAUGACGACAGCGAAAGAGGCCAAACUUCUCUAAAAAAAGAUAUAAGUCCAGAUAUGGAGCAGUAAAUGUCAACGUCUUCUAAACGAAAUAUACCUGAAUUCAUUUAAGUCUGAUUAAGAAAUAACUGGAUUUUGUUUUAGUUCCCACCGAAACUAAUGCAGAUGAUAGUUCCAUCUGUCACACACACUUCGAGUUUGUUAAGGAAUUGUCAUCUGAUUUCACAUUUGAGGUUAGUAAACAAAACCUUUCCAUUAAUGAACAUAUACAUCACAUGGUCUAAAUCUCCUGGUACCG